rnacentral:rRNA from 1 species
GAUGAACGCUGGCGGCGUGCCUAAUACAUGCAAGUCGAGCGAACAGACGAGGAGCUUGCUCCUCUGACGUUAGCGGCGGACGGGUGAGUAACACGUGGAUAACCUACCUAUAAUACUGGGAUAACUUCGGGAAACCGGAGCUAAUACCGGAUAAUAUAUUGAACCGCAUGGUUCAAUAGUGAAAGACGGUUUUGCUGUCACUUAUAGAUGGAUCCGCGCCGGAUUAGCUAGUUGGUAAGGUAACGGCUUACCAAGGCAACGAUGCGUAGCCGACCUGAGAGGGUGAUCGGCCACACUGGAACUGAGACACGGUCCAGACUCCUACGGGAGGCAGCAGUAGGGAAUCUUCCGCAAUGGGCGAAAGCUUGACGGAGCAACGCCGCGUGAGUGAUGAAGGUCUUCGGAUCGUAAAACUCUGUUAUUAGGGAAGAACAAAUGUGUAAGUAAAUAUGCACGUCUUGACGGUACCUAAUCAGAAAGCCACGGCUAACUACGUG